GAGAGAAGACAAUCUAGGUAUUCACUUAGGCAAUAACCCAAAUAGAAUAUAUUCAAGCAGGAGGACCUGGUAUUUAGAACAUGCAAUAAACAACACAUAAUUUGCACUGGUCGCUCCUUUCUUGCAAGGCAGAGAACUAACCAUAAGCACUAUCUGUAAAAUGGGGAUAGUGCUAUUCCUCCCCAUGACAUCUCCCCUAAGACAGCCCAAGAGGCCCAUCUCACCCACAGCUCUUAGGGGCAAGGCCAGACCUUUCCAGGAAGCAAAAGCUGUCUCUGGCCUCCAAUGAGGCAGCUGUAGUGGCAGCUGGGGAGACAGGAAUACAUUUCGAGACUUGGGAGCAAUGUUAGAGAACUUGUUUUUCAAAAACCCAAACAAUUGCAAAUCAGCAGGUCCCUGCUCACUUCUGUCUAGGGAAAGUGGGUAUUUUUCAGUGGUGGACAUGUUGAAGGGAGGGGCACUAUGGGGACAGCAACAGGAGAGCAGGUUGGCUAGACAAGGAGUAAAGGCACAGUUGGGAGAGGUCGGGAAAUAGGAAACACAAUUUUAUGAAAGAGGUUGUGUGUGUGUGUGUGUGUGAGUGUGUGUGUGU